GAGUAACGCGUGGGUAACCUGCCUCAUACAGGGGGAUAACAGUUAGAAAUGGCUGCUAAUACCGCAUAAGCGCACAGUGCUGCAUGGCACAGUGUGAAAAACUCCGGUGGUAUGAGAUGGACCCGCGUCUGAUUAGCUAGUUGGUGGGGUAACGGCCUACCAAGGCGACGAUCAGUAGCCGGCCUGAGAGGGUGAACGGCCACAUUGGGACUGAGACACGGCCCAAACUCCUACGGGAGGCAGCAUG
rnacentral:rRNA from 1 species